rnacentral:rRNA from 1 species
UACGGGGGGAGCAAGCGUUGUUCGGAUUUACUGGGCGUAAAGGGCGCGUAGGCGGCGUAGCAAGUCACUUGUGAAAUCUCCGGGCUUAACCCGGAGCGGCCAAGUGAUACUGUUGUGCUAGAGUGCGGAAGGGGCUACUGGAAUUCUCGGUGUAGCGGUGAAAUGCGUAGAUAUCGAGAGGAACACCUGCGGCGAAGGCGGGUAGCUGGGCCGACACUGACGCUGAGGCGCGAAAGCCAGGGGAGCGAACGGG